rnacentral:rRNA from 1 species
UACGGAGGGGGCUAGCGUUGUUCGGAAUUACUGGGCGUAAAGCGCACGUAGGCGGACUGUUAAGUCGGGGGUGAAAUCCCGAGGCUCAACCUCGGAACUGCCUUCGAUACUGAAAGUCUUGAGUCCGGGAGAGGUGAGUGGAACUGCGAGUGUAGAGGUGAAAUUCGUAGAUAUUCGCAAGAACACCAGUGGCGAAGGCGGCUCACUGGCCCGGUACUGACGCUGAGAUACGAAAGCGUGGGGAGCAAACAGG